rnacentral:tRNA from 1 species
CGCGGGGUGGAGCAGCCUGGUAGCUCGCAAGGCUCAUAACCUUGAGGUCGACCGUCCAAAUCGGUCCCCCGCAA